CCAAUCUCUCAGAGGACCAAACAAAUCCUACAUAUGCUGCCACUAAGUCCCUAGGCUGCCGGUGGCGGCGCCGAUGCCAAUUACCCCCGAAUUUACACCCCUCGCCCUCCUCAUUCUUCUCUUUCCAUCCAUGACAAUGACUUACCUCGAAUCAAACCGGAACUCUUCAAAUAUGUGAUUGAAAGUUCAGCUCAAAACAUAAAAUCGUCCAAAUAAGUCGAAAUUGAUACCAGACAGUCACCUUGUCCUCCUCUUCACAAAUAUAUAGGUAUUUCACUUUGAAUAUCACCAGGACACCUCCAAUUUCCAAUCUAGGGUUAUGCGGGUUCAAAUGGGUUUUGGGGAAGUUUUCUCGGUCGAGUGUCAUUUAUAGUAAGUUUUCUUUAACAUUCUGAUUUAGUUUUAUUUAGUAUGGUCCAAUUUCUCCUUCUUUUUCUUCCCGAUUCAGUAUGUUUGAUCUCUGGAAAUUGUCCAUAGUUAACUCUGAUUUUAUUUUUUACUUGUUUUAGUUUAAUUUUAUUAGGUUAGCUUAUAUUGUGUUUCUAUGCUUUAUCAGUUUAGCCUUUUCAAUUAACUGUAGGAACUAGGCUCUGAAUCAUCGUUAGAUUAAUUAGUUAUUAGCUAUUUAUCUAUCAUAUUUUAAUGUCAUUCAUAGAUAAUAAUAUUUAUUAGUUCGAAUGGUUAGUAUUAAUGUUAGCUCAUAUUCGAUGCCUGUUUUGAUUGCCCAGUUUUUCUUUUUUUGAUUGCUGAUGGUUCUAAAUUAGUUUAAUGUUGACGACUGCUCUCGUUUGAUUAAUGUAUUGUUAGAAUUUACAUUAGGAUAAGAUGUUUGUUUAGUUCAAUCUUUAUAUUCUGCUGUAGGGUUGGACCUGGUUGGUUAUAGCUGAACAAAUCUUUUGUUUUAAUUAAAUUUAGUUAGAUUUUAGCUAGGGUUAAAGGGAUUGGGACCAGUUAGCAUAAGGAUGUAAAUUUUAGAGUGGUAGAAGGGUAUUUUUGGGAUGGAAAAGGGUAAUUUCUAUCCAAGGGAAAGGGUAGUGUAGGUAUUUCAUGAGUAAAGAGCAUUCUAGAGGCUUCUAGAAUGGGGUAUAAGUGUAGAUUUCAGUAAUUAUGAUGCAUUUACUGAGUAGAAAGUUAGAAUUGGAGGGUUAAUCUGAAAAUAAGCAGGGACUAAUAGGUGAAAAAUAAAAUCUGGGGGCUGCCCUUAUUUUUUCUAUAAAAAGGCAUGAAUAGUGCCUUGAAGACCAUAUUUGGAACCUCUAAAAAUUCCCCAAAUGCCUCCAAGGUGAAACAGAUAUGGGAAAUAAAAAUUCCAGAUCAAAAUCCUCUUAGAUUCUAGGUUUCUUCAUAUAAAAAAAUAAAAACAAUAGAAUCCUUCAAAAAUUCAAAAAAAAUAUAUUGUUUCAUUAGUAAUUUUUAGGCUAAAUUAAACUUUCAGUUAGUGAUUCUCAUCUUCUAAGUCACAUACUUGAUUGCUGAAGUUUUUCUCUGAAGUACACUGCUGUAUUUUGAUGGUUUUGGUCUAUUUAAACUGUUUUUGGUGAAGUUUUGGGUUGCUGAAGGUUUUAAGUGGUGCUGGGUUCAUUUUGGGUCAUUUUAGUGCUGUUUUAGUGGAUUUGCUGUUUGUGUUUGGUUUUUCUAAAGCCUCUCUGGGCUACUUAAUUUUUCUGGACUGCAUUUGAUCUCUACUCGUGGUUAUUACUGAUUCCUACCGUUCUGAUUUGCUGCUUGAGCCUGUUGUUAUCCAUCUACCCUACUGACUCCUGUUUCUUCUUGUUGUGAUUUAAUAUCUAGGUAUUCUCUUUAGCUCUUGAUCGAAGAGUGAAUAUUGAACAUGUAAAUGAUUGGAUGCUCAUGAUAAAUGAAGGUCCCCUUUGAAACCGAUUCCCCUAUUGGUUUUACAAUGUCCAUUUUGUUUAAAUAGGCUUCAAGAUAAAACUGCUAGUCAGGGUCUCGCUCUCUGCUAUUUGUUUAAACACUACAUUUGGUUCUGUUCUACUGGUAUAGUUUUUGUGUAAUCCAUUGUGUUUUUGAGGUCCAGAAUUGAACUCUGGGAUGUGAUUGGGUUGAAAACGCAUUGGACCUUUGAGUGUGUUAAUUAUGGACUGCGAUGUACUGCUAGACUAGUUGAAAUUGUUUAGUUUUAAUUCUAAUAUUC
rnacentral:lncRNA from 1 species